rnacentral:rRNA from 1 species
AAUAGAUACCCAGGUAGUCCAUGCCGUAAACGAUGAGUGCUAAGUGUUAGGGGGUUUCCGCCCCUUAGUGCUGCAGCUAACGCAUUAAGCACUCCGCCUGGGGAGUACGACCGCAAGGUUGAAACUCAAAGGAAUUGACGGGGGCCCGCACAAGCGGUGGAGCAUGUGGUCUAAUUCGAAGCAACGCGAAGAACCUUACCAGGUCUUGACAUCCCAGUGACCACUCUAGAGAUAGAGUUUUCCCUUCGGGGACAUUGGUGGCAGGUGGUGCAUGGUUGUCGUCAGCUCGUGUCGUGAGAUGUUGGGUUAAGUCCCGCAACGAGCGCAACCCUUGAUCUUAGUUGCCAUCAUUCAGUUGGGCACUCUAAGGUGACUGCCGGUGACAAACCGGAGGAAGGUGGGGAUGACGUCAAAUCAUCAUGCCCCUUAUGACCUGGGCUACACACGUGCUACAAUGGACGGUACAAAGAGUCGCUAACUCGCGAGAGUACGCUAAUCUCAUAAAAACCGUUCUCAGUUCGGAUUGU